rnacentral:rRNA from 1 species
AUUGAACGCUGGCGGCAGGCUUAACACAUGCAAGUCGAGCGGGGUGAUGGUGCUUGCACUAUCACUUAGCGGCGGACGGGUGAGUAAUGCUUAGGAAUCUGCCUAUUAGUGGGGGACAACAUCUCGAAAGGGAUGCUAAUACCGCAUACGUCCUACGGGAGAAAGCAGGGGAUCACUUGUGACCUUGCGCUAAUAGAUGAGCCUAAGUCGGAUUAGCUAGUUGGUGGGGUAAAGGCCUACCAAGGCGACGAUCUGUAGCGGGUCUGAGAGGAUGAUCCGCCACACUGGGACUGAGGCACGGCCCAGACUCCUACGGGAGGCAGCAGUGGGGAAUAUUGGACAAUGGGGGGAACCCUGAUCCAGCCAUGCCGCGUGUGUGAAGAAGACCUUAUGGUUGUAAAGCACUUUAAGCGAGGAGGAGGCUCUUUUGGUUAAUACCCAGGAUGAGUGGACGUUACUCGCAGAAUAAGCACCGGCUAACUCUGUGCCAGCAGCCGCCGUAA